GAUGAACGCUGGCGGCAUGCCUAAUACAUGCAAGUCGAACGAGAGGAAGGAAAGCUUGCUUUUCUGAAUCUAGUGGCGAACGGGUGAGUAACACGUAGGUAACCUGCCCAUGUGCCCGGGAUAACUUCUGGAAACGGAUGCUAAAACCGGAUAGGUAGCAGACAAGCAUUUGACUGCUAUUAAAGUGGCUAAGGUCAUGAAACUGGAUGGCCCUGCGGUGCAUUAGCUAGUUGGUGGGGUAACGGCCCACCAAGGCGACGAUGCAUAGCCGGCCUGAGAGGGCGGACGGCCACAUUGGGACUGAGACACGGCCCAAACUCCUACGGGAGGCAGCAGUAGGGAAUUUUCGUCAAUGGGGGGAACCCUGAACGAGCAAUGCCGCGUGAGUGAGGAAGGUCUUCGGAUCGUAAAGCUCUGUUGUAAGAGAAAAACGACAUUCAUAGGGAAUGAUGAGUGAGUGAUGGUAUCUUACCAGAAAGUCACGGCUAACUACGUGCCAGCCGCCGCGGUAAGAC
rnacentral:rRNA from 1 species